CCUACGGGGGGCUGCAGUGGGGGAUAUUGCACAAUGGGCGCGAGCCUGAUGCAGCCAUGCCGCGUGUGUGAAGAAGGCCUUCGGGUUGUAAAGCACUUUCAGCGGGGAGGAAGGCGUUAAGGUUAAUAACCUUGUCGAUUGACGUUACCCGCAGAAGAAGCACCGGCUAACUCCGUGCCAGCAGCCGCGGUAAUACGGAGGGUGCAAGCGUUAAUCGGAAUUACUGGGCGUAAAGCGCACGCAGGCGGUCUGUCAAGUCGGAUGUGAAAUCCCCGGGCUCAACCUGGGAACUGCAUUCGAAACUGGCAGGCUAGAGUAUUGUAGAGGGGGGUAGAAUUCCAGGUGUAGCGGUGAAAUGCGUAGAGAUCUGGAGGAAUACCGGUGGCGAAGGCGGCCCCCUGGACAAAGACUGACGCUCAGGUGCGAAAGCGUGGGGAGCAAACAGGAUUAGAUACCCGGGUAGUC
rnacentral:rRNA from 1 species